rnacentral:rRNA from 1 species
UACGUAGGGGGGCAAGCGUUGUUCGGAUUUACUGGGCGUAAAGGGCGCGUAGGCGGCGUGACAAGUCACUUGUGAAAUCUCCGGGCUUAACUCGGAACGGUCAAGUGAUACUGUCGUGCUAGAGUACAGAAGGGGCAACUGGAAUUCUCGGUGUAGCGGUGAAAUGCGUAGAUAUCGAGAGGAACACCUGCGGCGAAGGCGGGUUGCUGGGCUGAUACUGACGCUGAGGCGCGAAAGCCAGGGGAGCGAACGGG